rnacentral:lncRNA from 1 species
GAAGAGGCGAGUGCUGGGUGCCUCUAGUCAACCAUGUUGAUGACAUCCUUUCUAGAAAACACCCUGAUACCUUGUGCCUGUGCUUCCGAGGUGGCUGACGCUGUGCCUGUGCUUCCGAGGUGGCUGACAUUGUGCCUGUGCUUCCGAGGUGGCUGACAUUGUGCCUGUGCUUCCGAGGUGGCUGACUUCUAACUGAGUGCAGUGGAGACCCUGUGGUGCUUUACAGAACAGAUGGCAGUGCGGCCCAAGCUCAGAACACAGCUGGACGGAUCCCUAUUUUUAAAAUAUUGCUUUUAAAGUUCCUUGGUCUAUUUUAAGUCUUAGACAAUAGAGCACUAAUUUGUGUCCACAGCCAGGGAAAAAGCACCCCAAAUACUCAUGUUAUGUCACUUUCAGUACCACAAUUCAAAUAGUGAAAGACGAUGCUUCCAUGUACCACUUAUAGGUCUCUACUAGUGAUUUUUCUCUCAUUUCAACCUAGCUUCACAUAUUUUUGUGGUAUAGCUAACUCAACACUGAUUCUAUAUAAAAUAUAUUAUCUAAGAUAGUCUUUAAAAAAUAUUUGAAUUCCACUGGGAUUUGUUUAAAACCCUACACAAAUAAUUACCUCUUACUAAAAACACUGAGUUUGGCAAGUGAAAUUUUGUAAUAAGGUGAAGAUUCAAUAAAAUCUUGUCUCAAACUAA